ensembl:misc_RNA Metazoa_SRP Metazoan signal recognition particle RNA
GCUGGGCAUGAUGGUGCAUGCCUAUAGUCCUAGCUACUCAGGAAGCUGAGGCAGGAGGAUCACUUGAGCCCAGGAGUUUGAGGUUACAGUGAGCUAUGAUUAUGCCACUGGACUUCAGUCUGGGCAACAGAGUGAGACACUGUUUCUU